AUUGAACGCUGGCGGCAGGCCUAACACAUGCAAGUCGAACGGUAACAGAAAGCAGCUUGCUGCUUUGCUGACGAGUGGCGGACGGGUGAGUAAUGUCUGGGAAACUGCCUGAUGGAGGGGGAUAACUACUGGAAACGGUAGCUAAUACCGCAUAACGUCGCAAGACCAAAGAGGGGGACCUUCGGGCCUCUUGCCAUCGGAUGUGCCCAGAUGGGAUUAGCUAGUAGGUGGGGUAAAGGCUCACCUAGGCGACGAUCCCUAGCUGGUCUGAGAGGAUGACCAGCCACACUGGAACUGAGACACGGCCCAGACUCCUACGGGAGGCAGCAGUGGGGAAUAUUGCACAAUGGGCGCAAGCCUGAUGCAGCCAUGCCGCGUGUGUGAAGAAGGCCUUCGGGUUGUAAAGUACUUUCAGCGGGGAGGAAGGGAGUAAAGUUAAUACCUUUGCUCAUUGACGUUACCCGCAGAAGAAGCACCGGCUAACUCCGUG
rnacentral:rRNA from 1 species